GGUUAGUGGCGAACGGGUGAGUAACACGUGGGCAAUCUGCCCUUCACUCUGGGACAAGCCCUGGAAACGGGGUCUAAUACCGGAUACGACCACUUCAGGCAUCUGAUGGUGGUGGAAAGCUCCGGCGGUGAAGGAUGAGCCCGCGGCCUAUCAGCUUGUUGGUGGGGUAAUGGCCCACCAAGGCGACGACGGGUAGCCGGCCUGAGAGGGCGACCGGCCACACUGGGACUGAGACACGGCCCAGACUCCUACGGGAGGCAGCAGUGGGGAAUAUUGCACAAUGGGCGAAAGCCUGAUGCAGCGACGCCGCGUGAGGGAUGACGGCCUUCGGGUUGUAAACCUCUUUCAGCAGGGAAGAAGCGAAAGUGACGGUACCUGCAGAAGAAGCGCCGGCUAACUACGUGCCAGCAGCCGCGGUAAUACGUAGGGCGCAAGCGUUGUCCGGAAUUAUUGGGCGUAAAGAGCUCGUAGGCGGCUUGUCACGUCGGAUGUGAAAGCCCGGGGCUUAACCCCGGGUCUGCAUUCGAUACGGGCAGGCUAGAGUGUGGUAGGGGAGAUCGGAAUUCCUGGUGUAGCGGUGAAAUGCGCAGAUAUCAGGAGGAACACCGGUGGCGAAGGCGGAUCUCUGGGCCAUUACUGACGCUGAGGAGCGAAAGCGUGGGGAGCGAACAGGAUUAGAUACCCUGGUAGUCCACGCCGUAAACGUUGGGAACUAGGUGUUGGCGACAUUCCACGUCGUCGGUGCCGCAGCUAACGCAUUAAGUUCCCCGCCUGGGGAGUACGGCCGCAAGGCUAAACUCAAGGAAUUGACGG
rnacentral:rRNA from 1 species